GGGCACCACCAGGAGUGGAGCCUGCGGCUUAAUUUGACUCAACACGGGAAAACUCACCCGGCCCAGACACUAGGAGGAUUGACAGACUGACUAGCUCUUUCUUGAUUCAGUGGGUGGUGGUGCAUGGCCGUUCUUAGUUGGUGGAGCGAUUUGUCUGGUUAAUUCCGAUAACGAACGAGACUCUAGCCUACUAGUUAGCCGGCCCGGUCGUUAUGCGCCCGGGCAGCGAGCUUCUUAGAGGGACAGACGGCGAGUAAGCCGUACGAGAUAGAGCAAUAACUGGUCUGCGAUGCCCUUAGAUGUCCUGGGCCGCACGCGCGCUACACUGAAGUGAUCAGCGUGCAAUUAACGUUUCCUACUCCGUCAGGAGUGGGUAACCCGUUGAACCUUCUUCGUGACUGGGAUAGGGGAUUGUAAUUAUUCCCCUUGAACGAGGAAUUCCCAGUAAGCGCAAGUCAUAAGCUUGCGUUGAUUACGUCCCUGCCCUUUGUACACACCGCCCGUCGCUACUACCGAUUG
rnacentral:rRNA from 1 species